GUUAAUUGACUUUGCUUUAAUCAGCCCAAUGAAUAUUCAUUAGCGUGCUGGUCCUAAUCACGGGGGCCAUGUUGGCCGCGUUCAGCAGGCGCUCGCCCAGCCCCGUGCAUGGCUCAGCAGCCGCCGUCCGCCCGCACCGCAUCGGGGCUGCGGGGAUUGGCCCACGGCUGCCUCCGGGAUGCCAUAGCAACCCCUGGCCCGUUGUCGUGGUAACAGAGGGGUUUUGUAAGGGCCUGAGCCAGUAAUCCAUAGGCUUAGAAGCGGCAACGUGCCUUUGUGGGGCGUGCGGGAUGGAUGGAUGGAUGGAUGGCCGAGAGAUUGGAUGGGCGGGCAGCGUGCGUGGCUCCCAUUGUGUGCCCGCGCCGUGGGAGGGGGCUGCGGGGUCUCCUCCUCCUCCUCGCCUCGAGAUGGGCUUUGGGGCUACAAAAAUCCCUGCAAAGUGGUCCCCACUGAGAAAAAGAACCCUCAAGACAAAACAGAAGGCAAGAGCUGACGGUUUUCUUCAUUCUGAAGUUGAGUCUCCAUUUCCUUCACCAGAAUGAUUCCUGAGCCAACUUUUCAGCAACACCAGAGAUAUUUCAGGAUAUAGAUUGUGAGUCCUGAGUCUUGCAAUCGAUGCCAAUGGGAAAACCACCACCAGAGA
ensembl:lncRNA